rnacentral:rRNA from 1 species
UCGCCUACCAUGAAGUCGGAAUCGCUAGUAAUCGCGGAUCAGCAUGCCGCGGUGAAUACGUUCCCGGGCCUUGUACACACCGCCCGUCACACCAUGAGAGUUUGUAACACCCAAAGCCGGUGGGGUAACCUUUUGGAGCCAGCCGUCUAAGGUGGGACAGAUGAUUGGGGUGAAGUCGUAACAAGGUACC